GUUUGGUUCGGUUCAUGGUUUGAAUACCAAAACCGAUGGUUAACCGCCCAACCCGUUACAUAUUGAAACAUUUAAAAAAAAAAAGAAAAAGAAAGAAAGGGGACUCAUAGACGAAGUAGGACUAUAGGAGUCAAAAUAAAUAUGAAAACCCACUAACUCUAAAUCUCUCCAAGUCUCCAAUCGAGCCUCAAUUUCUCAUUCCUUUCCAGACUCCAAU
rnacentral:lncRNA from 1 species